GACCUUUCCACGUAUGCAUACCUUUAUUACAACCAUAAGCAAUAACGUGUACCGGAAUAUGUGCUACAAGCUUGUCAGCACUGUUAUCAUUUGUGCUAAACUGAAUAAAUAUCACAAAAGCCUGCAACACCGCAGAACCCCCAUUAUCAGCUGCUACCCCAUUCAUAUCAUCUCAGCUCAAACAAACGGGCAUGCGCAUCGCAAUCAAGGCAAAGCAUGCACUCGGCUGUAACAAUCAGACAGUUUUAAUGUUAAAAAAAAAUGGACGCAAAAUGAACGAGCUGAAGAUAUCUGUCGCGUACAUUGCCCGAUGUAAGUAAGCAUUGCCGCGUUUAAGUGAAGAUCGUGAAUUGAAUCGAGUUUACGAGAAAUACCGAGUUAAUUUACCCAAGAGUGACGGAGAUAUUUUGAGAAUGACCCAUUGGCCGCAAACACGGAUCUAGCCUGUCGUCGCGGUCAAUAACCACGAAUACACGGAAUGACAGGAGAAGGUGUGUGGACACAACAAAAGGCAUAUCCCUAUGUGAAAUAUAGGUCACGCGAGACACAGAUGUGGCUGAGGGGGAAAAACAACGCUGGAUUUAAGCCUAACAACGUGACGAGGCGGAUAUAUCAAGUAUACGGCGCGUUUUAAACAGACGUAUCAGCAUAACCGUACAGGUGAGGAUAACGGAAAAAUCCCACACAAAUAUGUGGAUGGAGAUCCCGGAAUAUCUGUAUGCUUCAGUGAAUUAACAAAAGAGAAAUUUUCUUGUACUAAUAUGUAUAGUCAUAUGAACCAGACAUAUCUGACUAGGUGUAGUCACACCUGUGCAUGUGUAAAACUAGGCCAACUGCGUAUAACGGAGUCCUGGUGUUGAAUUGACCAGGUGAAUUGUUACAUCUGAAUCCUGGUUCUCCACCUUUACGCCAGUGUAGGAAUCCCAAAUCUACAGGCUGUGUUGUGUGAUAUACGGCCGGUUUGUUAGAGCGCAUUAUUGGAAGUGCUAACCUACUUAUGUGUGUACUGUUAUGAUGUCAGUAUUUUACAAGGGAGACUACAUGAACCUUACAUCUACAAAGGUAUCUAUAUCACGGCUCAGCCGGUGAAAUAAUCCAGAAUUCUGUACCCGUAACCUAGUCUACAAUUCAAGAAGACAGUUCACCCGUAACGGCCAGUUUACUCAAACCCGAGUUUACUGAGAAAACGCACUGAUUUGGUGAUUGGAGUCAUCCAAUCCAACAUCGAAUCCAGGUGCAUGCCACUGAGAACAAUACAGGAGUCAUUUUUUAUUUAACCAAAACAACAAUGGCGAAGAAGCAAGACUGUUGCUGUGAAUGCGUGUUUUGUCAAACUGUUGUGCUGGUUGCUCUCUGUGCAGCUCCCAUAGCACUUUUCGCAGUGGGCUUCGCGUUAGCAUUACCAUAUGGUUACAUUCGGCACUUCUCGCAGGAGCCUGUGACCUGUCACGUGACGUUCGUGCAAGAGCGAGGACUGUAUUCGUGUAAUUACUGCGAUGAAGACUAUAACUCCUGCUUUUCCAACUAUCCGUGCGUGAGGAUCGUGGUGGAAUAUGUCAGCCACGUAAACCAGUCGCUUGUGGAAAAUGCCACUUUAUAUCACCAUCCGUACAGUUACCUAAGUGACAAGAAAAUGCAGUGCUCUACAAGUACGUGUGACAAAGAUGUAGCCGAAAACAACCGAACAGUUGCCGAGUUUGUCCAAAAGUACGGCGUGAUAGGUCGGACAUUUCCGUGCUAUCCCGGAAAAGAUUCGAACCCCGAGGCUCUAUUGAACAUCAUAGAACACUGGAAGGUUCUCUUGGGGAUGCUGUUACCCACUGCUAUCUUUAUAACCGCUGCCGUCACGGAAAUUUGCUAUUGUGUAGUUUGUCCCAGGUAUAAACGGUAGUAAAGAUAGGAUUUAUUUAUUUAUUUGAUAGGUGAUAUACACCCUACUCAAGAAUAUUUCAGACCAUCCGCAGGUCGCUAAGAGGCCUUCCCACAUACGGCCGGAGAAAGGUGAAGUACAAGAUGCCCUGAUAACAUAUGUAAACUGUUUAAGGGUCACGGGAAAAAAUUCACGCAAUACCUGCUUGCAAAUAGCCACAAACGGGAGUAUUUAUUAAUGUUGUUCUGUGCCCAAGCAGAUUUCUCGAAUUUUGUACAUGUAAGCGUAUAGACUUUGCUAACACACACCAAUCUGUUCAUUGGAGAGACUUACACGAGUACUGAAACAUCAUCACUUUGUGUGGUCUCUGUGACGUAUAUCCGCACUAUAUAUGCAGGCAUGUGUAUGUGUGAAUAGGAUAUAAGAAGACAUGCACGUCAGUUUUAUGGGGUACUUUUAAUGUUUUUCUUGUACGUGUACCACUUGUACGUGUAUGAGUACGUCUACGUGUACCAUUGAUUGACAAUUUCUGAAUGAAAUAUGAGCGGAUUCUAGUAAAGAUUCAAAACUUACAGCAUAUGACUGAAUGAAUUACGAUGGCAAUAGACUAGCAGAAGUAUCUUUGCGUGUAAACGCAAAAGGUUCCUAUUAUCCUAUUAUUGUUCUUAUCAGUAUGUGUAUAUGUAGUAUUGCAAAACCUCGUUGUUAUCUUCCUCGAACCUAAGAAUUUACAUUGCCAGUGCAAGUCAGCGUUAAGUUUACAAUUUUAUAUAUUUUAAAUCGAGAUUUAAAACGCUGACUGUCUUAUUUACGUUCUUUAUAUAUAUUUUUAUACAUGUUUAACAUUAUUUUAUAUUUUAUAAUAAAUUAUUUUUCUGUAGAAUCCAA